rnacentral:rRNA from 1 species
AACGAACGCUGGCGGCAGGCCUAACACAUGCAAGUCGAGCGAGGACUUCGGUUCUAGCGGCGGACGGGGGAGUAACGCGUGGGAAUGUGCCCUUCUCUACGGAAUAGCCCUGGGAAACUGGGAGUAAUACCGUAUACGCCCUAUUGGGGAAAGAUUUAUCGGAGAAGGAUCAGCCCGCGUUGGAUUAGGUAGUUGGUGGGGUAAUGGCCUACCAAGCCGACGAUCCAUAGCAGGUUUGUGAGGAUGAUCAGCCACACUGGGACUGAGACACGGCCCAGACUCCUACGGGAGGCAGCAGUGGGGAAUCUUAGACAAUGGGGGCAACCCUGAUCGAGCCAUGCCGCGUGAGUGAUGAAGGCCUUAGGGUUGUAAAGCUCUUUCAGCUGGGAAGAUAAUGACGGUACCAGCAGAAGAAGCCCCGGCUAACUCCGUG